CUUUGAUAACUCUUUUUGAAUAUUUCUAUUUUCUCUUAUGCAGUAGCCAACUUCUUUUUCAAGUUUUCAAUUUCUUGCUCCAACCCAACGUCCUAUAUAGAAUCAAACGAAGGCAUUCUAUUAUUUUCAUGAAAAAAAAUAUCAUUUUCACUCCAUUACUCCCAAGAGACGAAAUACGAGAGCACCAGAAGGGGAAAUAAAUCAUAUUUAAAAUUCACAAAAAUAUAUAAUUUUAUCGCAAUUCUUAUUCACAACAAUGGGUCCUUAGGUGUCUCGUGUGUUUGCUCCAAGAAUGAUAUCAUCCUGAAUAAUGGAUUGUUAGCAAAGGAUGAGUUAAUUAAGCAUCGAGCCACACUCUUGAAGUCUUAUGAACCAAGGAUCGCUGAAUGUAUUUAAGAAAGUAAUAUCAUGUAGACAUUAAAAGGUGUUAUGAAUAUAUACAAAAAAAAAAAAAAAAAAAAAAAAUCUUGUUACAUUAAUGCUUCUUGUUAAAGAACUACUUUUCUAAGGAUACCUAGAAUUAUUUCACAGAAACUUCAUUAAAAUAAUGUGAUUUAUCAUUUCUAUAAAAUUUCAUUUUAAUAGAUCCACUCAUGCUUUCCACGAUUGUGGAAUCAACUACCCUGUCUGAUGCUAAUAGAUCAUAUUCUUUCACAUUCAUCACACAACACCUACCAUAUCCUAAAAUAUUGACAAAAACUAAACCUUUGCAGUGAUUGCAUGAAG
rnacentral:lncRNA from 1 species